rnacentral:rRNA from 1 species
UACGUAGGGGGCAAGCGUUAUCCGGAUUUACUGGGUGUAAAGGGAGCGUAGACGGCACUGCAAGUCUGGAGUGAAAGCCCGAGGCCCAGCCACGGGACUGCUCUGGAAACUGCGGGGCUGGAGUGCAGGAGGGGUAAGCGGAAUUCCUAGUGUAGCGGUGAAAUGCGUAGAUAUUAGGAGGAACACCAGUGGCGAAGGCGGCUUGCUGGGCUCUAACUGACGCUGAGGCUCGAAAGCGUGGGGAGCAAACAGG